rnacentral:rRNA from 1 species
AGAGUUUGAUCCUGGCUCAGGAUGAACGCUGGCGGCGUGCCUAAUACAUGCAAGUCGAACGGAGAAUAGCGAUAUUCUCAGUGGCGAACGGGUGAGUAACGCGUUGGUGACCUGCCCCGGAGUGUGGGAUACCAGGCCGAAAGGCUUGCUAAUACCGCAUGCGCAAAGGGACGACUAGAAAGCUCUUUGCAAAGGAGUAAUCCGCUCUGGGAGGGGCCUGCGACCCAUCAGCUAGUUGGUAAGGUAACGGCCUACCAAGGCGAUGACGGGUAGGGGACCUGAGAGGGUGGCCCCCCACAAUGGAACUGAAACACGGUCCAUACACCUACGGGUGGCAGCAGUAGGGAAUAUUGCUUAAUGGGCGCAAGCCUGAAGCAGCAACGCCGCGUGUGCGAUGAAGGCCUUCGGGUUGUAAAGCACUUUUAGCAGGGAAGAGGAAGGACGGUACCUGCUGAAUAAGCCUCGGCUAACUACGUGCCAGCAGCCGCGGUAAUAC